AGCUUCCUGUAUAAGCACUGUGCUAAAAUUGCAGAAACUAGGACUGUAUCUUGGUUUUUGUGAUGCUAGCAGAGUACACUCAAGAAUAAACAUAACGGCAUUGGACUGUAAAGACUAGGGUGAGGCCAGGCGCAGUGGCUCACACCUGUAAUCCCAGCACUUUGGGA
ensembl:snoRNA